AUGGACCUCCCUGACAGCGGUGAGCGCUGGUGUCUGAUCUGUGGGGACCGGGCAUCCGGGCUGCACUAUGGCAUCAUUUCCUGUGAGGGGUGUAAGGGCUUCUUCAAACGCAGUAUUUGCAACAAGCGCAUCUACCGCUGCAACAGGGACAAGAACUGCCAGAUGUCCCGCAAGCAACGCAACCGCUGUCAGUACUGCAGACUGCAGAAAUGCCUUCAGAUGGGAAUGAACCGCAAGGCAAUCAGAGAAGACGGGAUGCCAGGAGGGAGAAACAAAAUGAUUGGGCCUGUACGGUCUGGCCAGGAGUUUAAAGAAGGAGCUGAACUAUCAGAUACGUGGAGCCACGGCUACAGUAACCACAGUUCACCUGGCAACAGUAUCUCCGAGGGCGGUCAAACCGUAUCUUUUUCCACGCUGUCAAGCAGCCGUUCUGUGGAUGUGAGCACAUACCCUGUGUCCUGUAGAGAUCAGUGCAACAGUCCUAAGCUGACACACUCUUUCCUGUUGUGUAAAUAUCCUUUACCGCCCUCUACUGGCAGCAGCCUGAAGGCGCAAUCGCACACACUGUCAGCCCAGCUACUCGCUGCUGAAGAUCUCACACCUCUCACUACACCCAUGGUCAUAGAAGAGGGGUAUAAUGUGACUCAGUCGGAGCUGUUGGCUCUGCUGUGCCGUAUAGCUGAUGAGCUGUUAUUCAGACAGAUUGUCUGGCUGAAGCGUUUACCCUUCUAUAGCAAUCUGUCCAUCAAAGACUGCACUCGUUUACUGGGGGCUUCCUGGCAUCAGCUCAUCCUGCUCUCUUCGCUCACUGUGCACAGCGGACAGAUACUGGGAGAACUGGCCAACAUCACACACCAGUACACACCGUCCAGCCUAACAUUACAGGGGUUUGGUGAGGGUGCUAUGGAGGUCAUGGAGAGUUUAAAUUUUCUCUUCCGUAAGUUUCAGCAACUAAAUAUCAGCAAUGAGGAGUACAGCUGCUUAAAGACCAUCACCCUGCUCAAUCAAGAUAUGGCAGGUUUGUGCAACACGUCCACACUGGAACAGUUGAGUGAACGUUACUGGUCCGUGUGUCGUGACCUGACAGAACGACUCCACCCUCGUCGACCCAAACGCUUCUCUGACAUCAUCACCUGCCUUUCCGAGAUACGCCACACCUCAGGUAAGAUGAUGGCCAUUCCACUGGAGCAGCUCCCACUGCUGUUUAAGGCGGUACUGUACUCCUGCACAACCAAUCAAAACCCCUGGCUUGCCAACAGCUCCACCUCCAAGACAUAAGCCAUGACUCCAACUAAGUGUUUUAGUUGUUUUUCCCCCAAUGUAUUUAUUACAUGACAAAGUUGAAUGUAAAACUCUUGACAGUUUUGUGUGUGAUUUCGAAGUGCACCAAAUGUAGCGAUUUACCAAAUUAGAUUUCAAGAUGCCUGUAAAGAUUAACUCAGGAACAAGCCUUUGGAAAACCACAAACUCUUUGACCAUUGUGUUAAUGAUCAAAAUGAAAAGAAAAACCACAAAUGAACACACUGCAAGCCAUUGUUGAAUAAUGCAGCCUCUAGCUAUGAUAUGAAAUGUCCUUGUGUUACAGGAUGUCACUGAUAAAAUAUGCCUGAUAAAAUAGUGAAGAUGCCAAGGUGCUGAAUUUCAUUCAAAAAAAUAAUGUUUCUUAUUCAGAUGAUAGCUACAUUUGAGCUAUAGAGAUUUAAAUAGUCAAAAUGAUCAUCCACAGCUCACAAGUUUGAGUACCAAAGCUGAGUGUGCCACAUUAUACAUGUUUUUGACCAUAGUUUUUUCAGGAUGGAGACUUCCGGUAAUGUUUGAGCCAGUCGCCGGGGUAACGAAAUGCAAUAAGCACACUCUUUAUCCCAGGUGUGUGUGUGUGUUACAUGUGUGAUUUCCUCUCACACACGUCUUCAAAGAAGUGUGAAUGCUUGAACAGGGUUUAUGUGUUUGUAUUUUGGCGUAGUUGUAGUUUUGUUGGAAAUAUAAUUCCUCAUUGUUUUGAUCAUUUUAUUCCUGUUUUUGAACGUUAUUAUGUGUUUUACCUGUUACCAGAUGAGCCAUUUCUCAGGAAGGCCAGAGGGUUGAGUUUAAUGAAACUUCAUCGUGUUGUACAGACGAACAUUCCAAAUAUUACUAAACAUUGGAGGAAUUUCAUGUGGUUUUAACUCUUUGAAAGUUUACAUUUCUGUUUUUGCCGCAGCAGCAGACAAUGAGAGGGUAGAGUAUAGUGACACGCUCGAGGAUAGCAUGCGAGGGUCGCUCUGAUAGAUAGCGGAGA
ensembl:lncRNA